rnacentral:rRNA from 1 species
GCGGCGAACGGGUGAGUGAGAGCUGGGAAUCUGCCCAUGGGAGAGGGAUAGCCACUGGAAACGGUGGGUAAAACCGCAUGACAUCGAGAGAUCAAAGUGUCGCCUCUUGAAAAAGAGGCCGCAGCCCAUGGAUGAGCCCCAGCGAAGAUUAGCUAGUAGGUGCGGUAAUGGCGUACCUAGGCAACGAUCUUGAGCUGGUCUGAGAGGAUGUCCAGCCACACUGGGACUGAGAUACGGCCCAG